rnacentral:sRNA from 1 species
AUCUUAGCGCUUGGGGCAAUGACGCUUUUAAUGAGGUUCCAAACGAGGCGCGUGUAUUGCUGGUUGACGACUAUUUCAAACCCCCUCUAAAAGAAAAGGGAAAAAUAAAAUAAAGCUAAACGUUGGCAUCAGAGGAGAGGGAUAUUGAAAUACCGGAGUGACCUUUUACUGGAUCCUUAGAGGUCUGCCUGUCGGUACCUCGUUUAAUUAAGGCUGCUCCUCUUUUGGGGUCUUUUUGACUUGUAAUUAUUGAA